rnacentral:rRNA from 1 species
AUGCCGCCCCCUCAAGGACCGGAUUACAGGCCCAUGUCUCCGGCGAAGCCGUCAUUCAGGGGUCCGACAUCGAUGGCAGGGGUCAGAUGCCUUGGUCUCGUGACCUCCGGUCGCCGUAUCCCUCCUGCAUGCGUCCCUCACCUACGCAUCUCCAUCUCACCAUGGACAGCUUCCUCGUCAGGCUUGAACUUCUUCUCCAGCCUCCGCCCUGCUACUCUAGCUGUCCUCGUUGAAGUCCCCCGACUGCCGUGUGCUUCUCCCCUGCCUCUUGUCACCUCCGGCUCCCCAACCUCCUGGCUCAGGUACCACACAAUAUGCUAG